UGCGUAGGCGGCUGGGUAAGUCGCGUGUGAAAGCCCGGGGCUCAACCCCGGAGCUGCAUGCGAGACUGCCUGGCUCGAGCACGGUAGAGGCGGGCGGAAUUCCUGGUGUAGCGGUGGAAUGCGUAGAGAUCAGGAAGAACACCGGUGGCGAAGGCGGCUCGCUGGGCCGUUGCUGACGCUGAGGCACGAAAGCGUGGGGAGCAAACAGGAUUAGAUACCCUGGUAGUCCACGCCCUAAACGAUGGACACUAGGCGUCGGGGGGAGCGACCCUCCCGGUGCCGUCGCUAACGCAAUAAGUGUCCCGCCUGGGGAGUACGGCCGCAAGGCUGAA
rnacentral:rRNA from 1 species